AACGAACAAGCUGGCGGCGUGCUUAACACAUGCAAGUCGAACGAGAAAGCUUUCUUCGGAAAGUGAGUAGAGUUGCGCACGGGUGAGUAACGCGUAGGUAAUCUAUCCUUACAUUUGGGAUAACAUCGGGAAACUGGUGCUAAUACCGAAUGGUCUUCAUUGCUUUGGGGCGAUGGAGUAAAGGUGGCCUCUUCAUGAAAGCUACCGUGUAGGGAUAAGCCUGCGUACCAUUAGCUAGUAGGUGGGGUAAUGGCCCACCUAGGCUACGAUGGUUAGCGGGUCUGAGAGGAUGAUCCGCCACACUGGAACUGAAACACGGACCAGACUCCUACGGGAGGCAGCAGUGAGGAAUAUUGCGCAAUGGGGGAAACCCUGACGCAGCGACGCCGCGUGAGUGAGGAAGGUUUUCGGAUCGUAAAGCUCUGUCAGAAGGGAAGAAGUGUUAUAUGGUUAAUACCCGUAUAAUUUGACGGUACCUUCAGAGGAAGCACCGGCUAACUCCGUGCCAGCAGCCGCGGUAAUACGGAGGGUGCAAGCGUUGUUCGGAAUUACUGGGCGUAAAGGGCGCGUAGGCGGCCUGAUAAGUCAGAUGUGAAAGUCCACGGCUCAACCGUGGAAGUGCAUUUGAAACUGUCAGGCUUGAGUAUCGGAGGGGAGUGUGGAAUUCCCGGUGUAGAGGUGAAAUUCGUAGAGAUCGGGAGGAACACCGGUGGCGAAGGCGACACUCUGGACGAAUACUGACGCUGAGGCGCGAAAGCGUGGGGAGCAAACAGGAUUAGAUACCCUGGUAGUCCACGCCGUAAACGAUGUGAACUAGGGAUAGGGGGUGUUGAUCCCUCCUGUCCCGCAGCUAACGCAUUAAGUUCACCGCCUGGGGAGUACGGUCGCAAGAUUAAAAUCUCAUAAGAAUUGACGG
rnacentral:rRNA from 1 species